rnacentral:lncRNA from 1 species
CGCGUAUCCACUGGCCUGCUUCUCCCCACAAACCGUCACGUCACACACGGGCUGCCCCACACCUCACACUCGGAGCAGUACGCAGGGCACGUAUGACAAGUCACGUCCCACAGCCACAAAAACUCACAGACGAGGGUCCGGUCCUAGGCCGCCUGACGAGGCCAAAGUUGAGGGGUCGAAAGGCCGGGCUGCAGGCAUAACUGGAGCCAAGUACCGAACUACACAUCCCAGAAGCCACUGCUGCCGGAGUCCAAUCACAGCCCGGAUCCGUCUUCCCAGCAUCCCUUGGGCGACCGGCCCUUUAGAAUGGGCGGGCCGUGGCUCCUUCGCCUCUGGACCAUAUUUCCCAGAAGGGACUGCGGGUCCCUGUGGGUCUGGCGCCUCCGGGUUCCUCAGGCUGGGCCGGAGACUGAGCUCCAGGCGUCCGGGGCGGGACCCAUGCGGCGUCUCUGCGCCAUCUUGCGUCAGAGCGAUUGUCGCGUGUGAGGGCGAGCGGGAGGCCCUUCCGGUCCGCAGCGCGGGAGCUCCUUGGCCAACACGGUACCGAGGGCAGUACGUUGCAGGUACCCAUUCUCUUGCUGGCUGUCCACCAGGGUCACUCUCAGCUCCUCGGGGCCAUACCUCUCCAUGGGCAGUCCAGAACAUCACUGUUUUCUUCAUCGAGGCCAGCAGGAGCAUCUCUUUCUUCUGCUUUUACAGGGCUCGUCUGAUUAGGACUCACCCUUCCCCAGGGGAGGAGUCUGGAGGAGGACUCAUCAGCCUUUGCUAUUCUGAAAGCCAUGUCCCAGACGGUGAAAGGAACCAGUGGUCCUGAGCCCUCACUAAGAAUCCAUCUCCUCUCUGUCCUGGGUUCAUGUGGUCAGCACAUCACUUAGAAUCUCCUAUCAGUUCAGUUCUGCCUGGAGGCUUGAUGGACCGGAAAUGCAUUGCUUGACAGAAAAAU